GUUUUAAUAGUUUAAAAAAAAUAAUGAUCUUGUAAAUCGUAGAUAGAUAAAUCUUUAAAACU
rnacentral:tRNA from 1 species